GAAAGCCCACAGAGAGGGAGGAAGAAAGAGAGACGCGCGAAGCUCUCGACGAUGGCGGCGGCUCAGCAGCAGGCGUUGCAGAAGAACACGUUGUACGUCGGAGGUCUCGCGGAGGAAGUAAACGAAUCGAUCCUUCACGCUGCGUUCAUACCUUUCGGUGACAUAAAGGACGUAAAGACGCCAUUGGACCAAGCGACGCAGAAGCACAGAUCCUUCGGCUUCGUCACCUUCCUCGAGAGAGAAGACGCUGCAGCCGCCAUGGACAAUAUGGACGGGGCUGAGCUCUAUGGCCGUGUUCUCACCGUCAAUUAUGCCCUCCCCGAGAAAAUCAAGGGUGGUGAACAGGGUUGGGCCGCUCAUCCACUUUGGGCGGACGCAGAUACGUGGUUUGAAAGGCAGCAACAAGAACAGGAAAUGCAGAGGAUCCAAGCCGAGAACAAGGCCGCGAUGCAGGCUGCCGAGGAGUUGCACAGGAAGAAGCUGGCACAAGAGCGAGAAGGCGAGAAAGAAGACGAACUAGACAUCAAGGAUAAUCCUAUGGCCAUAGCCGAGUGACAGUAACCAUCCUAGAAGCUGGAUCCUGUUCUUCAACCAGAUACACUUGCAUUGCAACACGUCAAUCUCUCUGACCUGACCGCCAUGCAAAGUCCACGAUUUCAGUUGCAUCAUUCAGUUCAAAAUCGACCAAAGAACUUAACUUUACAGCAAUCGGAGUCGAACCCAAAUCUCAAAAUCUCAUCUUGACGGCUAAUUGAUCACGAUCGGGAAGAACUUAGAUCAAGAGAUGGUGGAAAAGAGGGAUAGAAGGAAAGAUCGUGGCGGUGACGUGUGGGAUGGGGUUGGCCGGAGCCGCCCUCUGCCUUGAGCUGCUCCGCCGUGGGGCCCUCCAUGUCCGCUCCUUCGACCGCCGCUCCUCCUCCCCCUGGUCCCACCGUCUCAGAGAUUCCGGUGUUCAUUGUAUACAGGCUAUAUAUAUAUAUAUAUAGUACUAAUUCUACUCAAAAUCAGACGGAAAAUUCUCUGAAACCGCUAAUAUAUAAAAAUAUACUUACAAAACGCUCCAAAGGAUGUUACGAAAUCGUAAUUGCGAAUGCAUGCAUGCCUAUUUCUGUGUAUUUGUGUCUGAAUAGACUUUAUGUGUGUAAUGAAGAGUUAACCGUUAAGUUAGUUAUAUGUUUUUUAAACUGUGAUAUGUAUCAGGAAACGUAGUUUGUAGAGAAGAGGUGGCGGCAAGGAAUUGCUUCGGAAGCCUCGGAUCCACGAGGUUAACAUCGAAGGAACUCGUAAUGUCGUGGAAUCUUGCGUGAACCACGGGAUCACGAGACUCGUGUUCUUGAGCACGAACGGCGUUGUUUUCGGGGGGAGGGAGAUUGAAAACGGAGACGAAACUCUGCCGUAUUUAGCGUCGGAUGAAUACAUCGAUCCUUACAGUCGGAGUAAAUCUGAGGCUGAACGGUCGUCCUGUUGAAAGAUGCGGAGAAUUGCUUUGUACUUGUGUGAUACGAUCCGCCGUUUUGUACGGGCCGGGCGAAGAGAGGCAUCUUCCGAGGAUAAUCUCUAAUGCAAGACUAGGUCUACUGCUUUUCAAAAUCGGCGAUCCGGACAUAAAAACCAUUGGAUUUAGUACAGAAUCUCGUGCAUGCUCUCACAUUAGCGAGCGUGGCUCUACUCUCCGAGGAUUCAAGAGCUGCGGGAAAUGCAUACUAUAUCUCGGAUGGAUGUUCGAGGUCGUGUACGCUUCCAUAUAUACGUUACUGAACCAACGAUGGAUUCCGCAACCAUUAAUCCUCCCCGCCGAGAUCUAUAAGGUCGGAGUGACCCAUCACUACUCGAUCCGCAAAGCCCAGAAAGAACUCGGCUACUUGCCCGAAACAACACCCGAAGAAGCUAUGGCCGAGACGAUAUCUUAUUUUCGGGACAAAAAGAGGCGAGAAGUAGAGGUGCCGAGCAUUUACGCGUGGAUAUUCUGUCUUAUCGGAUUGCCCGGCAUCUUGGCCGUGGCAUGGCUACCCGACAUAGGUCCUAUCCCAUUUUUCCGAGCCGCCUCGUUGUUUUUUUAUCGGUCCAUGUUCGUGUUGCGGGUAAUGUCGAUAUUUUUCGUGUCCGCGCACAUCGCGGAAGGCGUUUACGCGUGGUUUUUGGCUCGGAGAGUGGAUCCGAAGAAUGCGAAGACGUGGUUUUGGCAGACGCUUGUUCUUGCCACUUUCUCGCUUCGUUUCCUGUGGAGAAGAGCCAAAGAGAGGAAACAACGAUAAAGAAAAAGUCUCUUGAUGAAAAAAUGGGUAAAUUCUGUAAGUAAUAAAAACACUUUUGGUAAUGGAACGUUUGUUACUGUUA